AGUAAUGCCUGGGAAUUUGCCCAUUUGUGGGGGAUAACAGUUGGAAACGACUGCUAAUACCGCAUACGCCCUACGGGGGAAAGCAGGGGACCUUCGGGCCUUGCGCUGAUGGAUAAGCCCAGGUGGGAUUAGCUAGUAGGUGAGGUAAAGGCUCACCUAGGCGACGAUCCCUAGCUGGUCUGAGAGGAUGAUCAGCCACACUGGGACUGAGACACGGCCCAGACUCCUACGGGAGGCAGCAGUGGGGAAUAUUGCACAAUGGGGGAAACCCUGAUGCAGCCAUGCCGCGUGUGUGAAGAAGGCCUUCGGGUUGUAAAGCACUUUCAGCGAGGAGGAAAGGGUGUAAGUUAAUACCUUACAUCUGUGACGUUACUCGCAGAAGAAGCACCGGCUAACUCCGUGCCAGCAGCCGCGGUAAUACGGAGGGUGCGAGCGUUAAUCGGAAUUACUGGGCGUAAAGCGUGCGCAGGCGGUUUGUUAAGCGAGAUGUGAAAGCCCCGGGCUCAACCUGGGAACCGCAUUUCGAACUGGCAAACUAGAGUCUUGUAGAGGGGGGUAGAAUUCCAGGUGUAGCGGUGAAAUGCGUAGAGAUCUGGAGGAAUACCGGUGGCGAAGGCGG
rnacentral:rRNA from 2 species